rnacentral:misc_RNA from 1 species
UCAAACUUGGUCAUUUAGAGGAAGUAAAAGUCGUAACAAGGUUUCCGUAGGUGAACCUGCGGAAGGAUCAUUACCUUUCAUGCCCUUCGGGGCACAGUUGGGGGCUACUCAGCCCCCCUCUGCAUCCUUGUCUUUUGCGUACUACAUGUUUCCUCGGCGGGCUUGCUCGCCGGUUGGACCAUUAUAAACUCUUUGUAAUUGCAAUCAGCGUCUGAAUAAAUUUAAUAUUUACAACUUUCAACAACGGAUCUCUUGGUUCUGGCAUCGAUGAAGAACGCAGC